rnacentral:tRNA from 1 species
GAGAAUAUAGUAAAAAAAUUACGUAAGUUUGUCAGGCUUAAUUUAUUAUAUGUUUUAAUUUUUCUCU